UACGGAGGAUGCAAGCGUUAUCCGGAAUGAUUGGGCGUAAAGCGUCCGCAGGUGGCUUUGUAAGUCUGCUGUUAAAGAGUGAGGCUCAACCUCAUAAGAGCAGUGGAAACUACAAGGCUAGAGUACGUUCGGGGCAGAGGGAAUUCCUGGUGUAGCGGUGAAAUGCGUAGAGAUCAGGAAGAACACCGGUGGCGAAAGCGCUCUGCUAGGCCGUAACUGACACUGAGGGACGAAAGCUAGGGGAGCGAAAGGG
rnacentral:rRNA from 1 species